rnacentral:rRNA from 1 species
AUUACCCCUACCCUAUAAGACCUGGGAUUACCUUUCGGGGAAACCCGGAGCUUAAUUACCCGGAUUAAUAUUUUGAACCCGCAUGGUUCAAAAGUGAAGCGGUCUUGCUGUCACUUAUAGAUGGAUCCGCGCUGCAUUAGCUAGUUGGUAAGGUAACGGCUUACCAAGGCAACGAUGCAUAGCCGACCUGAGAGGGUGAUCGGCCACACUGGAACUGAGACACGGUCCAGACUCCUACGGGAGGCAGCAGUAGGGAAUCUUCCGCAAUGGGCGAAAGCCUGACGGAGCAACGCCGCGUGAGUGAUGAAGGUCUUCGGAUCGUAAAACUCUGUUAUUAGGGAAGAACAUAUGUGUAAGUAACUGUGCACAUCUUGACGGUACCUAAUCAGAAAGCCACGGCUAACUACGUGCCAGCAGCCGCGGUAAUACGUAGGUGGCAAGCGUUAUCCGGAAUUAUUGGGCGUAAAGCGCGCGUAGGCGGUUUUUUAAGUCUGAUGUGAAAGCCCACGGCUCAACCGUGGAGGGUCAUUGGAAACUGGAAAACUUGAGUGCAGAAGAGGAAAGUGGAAUUCCAUGUGUAGCGGUGAAAUGCGCAGAGAUAUGGAGGAACACCAGUGGCGAAGGCGACUUUCUGGUCUGUAACUGACGCUGAUGUGCGAAAGCGUGGGGAUCAAACAGGAUUAGAUACCCUGGUAGUCCACGCCGUAAACGAUGAGUGCUAAGUGUUAGGGGGUUUCCGCCCCUUAGUGCUGCAGCUAACGCAUUAAGCACUCCGCCUGGGGAGUACGACCGCAAGGUUG